UUAAAUUGUUGUCCUAUUUGAAAUAGAAAGGAUUCUUUAGUACCCCUUCCACUAUGCUGCAACACUAUGCAAUAGUAAGCCCGGUAUACCACUCACGUGUUUAGUUUCGAGAAUAUGUUCGGUCGUGGUGGUUGUUGCUGUAGACUGUUAAAAUGUGUUUCUGGAAAUUAGUGUUAUCUGAAGUAGUAAAAAAUUUGAUACGUCUUCUUAAUGUAAAACGAUACCGUUUGGAGAAUUAUCUUCCUGGAAUAAUGAGAAGUGCUUCUAAUGAUGAUGGACUUCAUCCGAAUUGGAAUUUUCAGUCUCUGGUAA